GCCACAGCGGGUGCCUACAUUGCCUCCCAGACAGUGAAGAAGGUGAUAGAGAUCAACCCCUACCUCCUGGGCACCAUGGCUGGGGGUGCAGCAGAUUGCAUCUUCUGGG
ensembl:miRNA